UUAAAAUGAUGAAACAUAAUCAGUUCUGCUUCUGAUAAUAAUGAAGACAAAUUGUUUAACUGAUUU
rfam:Plasmodium berghei strain K173 genome assembly, chromosome: 9